rnacentral:rRNA from 1 species
UACGUAGGGUGCAAGCGUUGUCCGGAUUUAUUGGGCGUAAAGAGCGUGUAGGCGGCCUGACAGGUCAGCUGUGAAAACUCGAGGCUCAACCUCGAGACGUCGGUUGAAACCGUAAGGCUAGAGUCCGGAAGAGGAGAGUGGAAUUCCCGGUGUAGCGGUGAAAUGCGAAGAUAUCGGGAAGAACACCCGUGGCGAAGGCGGCUCUCUGGGACGGUACUGACGCUGAGACGCGAAAGCGUGGGGAGCGAACAGG